AGAGUUUGAUCCUGGCUCAGGACGAACGCUGGCGGCGUGCCUAAUACAUGCAAGUCGAACGCUUCUUUUUCCACCGGAGCUUGCUCCACCGGAAAAAGAGGAGUGGCGAACGGGUGAGUAACACGUGGGUAACCUGCCCAUCAGAAGGGGAUAACACUUGGAAACAGGUGCUAAUACCGUAUAACAAUCGAAACCGCAUGGUUUUGAUUUGAAAGGCGCUUUCGGGUGUCGCUGAUGGAUGGACCCGCGGUGCAUUAGCUAGUUGGUGAGGUAACGGCUCACCAAGGCGACGAUGCAUAGCCGACCUGAGAGGGUGAUCGGCCACAUUGGGACUGAGACACGGCCCAAACUCCUACGGGAGGCAGCAGUAGGGAAUCUUCGGCAAUGGACGAAAGUCUGACCGAGCAACGCCGCGUGAGUGAAGAAGGUUUUCGGAUCGUAAAACUCUGUUGUUAGAGAAGAACAAGGAUGAGAGUAACUGUUCAUCCCUUGACGGUAUCUAACCAGAAAGCCACGGGUAACUACGUGCCAGCAGCCGCGGUAAUACGUAGGUGGCAAGCGUUGUCCGGAUUUUUUGGGCGUAAAGCGAGCGCCAGCCGUUUCUUUAGUUUAAUGUGAAAGCCCCCGGCUCAACCGGGGAGGGUCAUUGGAAUCUGGGCGACUUGAGUUCUGAAGAGGAGAGGGGAAUUUCCUGGGUAACGGUGAAAUGGGUUGAUAUUUGGAGGGACACCAGUGGGGAAGGGGGCUCUCUGGUGUGUAAAUGACGGUUAGGCUGGAAAGGGUGGGGAGCCAAAAGGAUUAGAUACCCUUGUAGUUCACCCCGUUAAC
rnacentral:rRNA from 1 species